rnacentral:lncRNA from 1 species
CUCUCCUUGGCUGUUUCCAGAUCCUGCACAGCACCUGGGCAUGGCUGGUUCUACCCCAGCUGUUCUCCAGCAAGCAAUGGCUGGUGUUUACAAUGACACACUGACGACCCAGGGUGGGAUUUUCCCGGGAGUUGGGAGGUGGGGUGCGGGUCCCUUUUGUGGCCGUGAAUCCACAAAGGUCAAAAGCCCAUGGGGAGUAAGAUACUUCACCUUAUUUGACCACAGUGCCUUCUGCCUGGACUGCUUCUCCCUGGCUCUUCUCCCCGCUGGAUAUGUCUCUUUCUUCAGUUUUGGAGGCUGGAAGCCCAAGAUCAAGGUGCCAGCUGAUCCAGUUCCCUGGUGAGUGCUCUCUUCCUGUCUUGCAGUUGGCUGUCUUUUCUCUGUGCUUUCACAUGGCAGAGAGAGAGGAAGCAAGCUCUCUUGGG